GCGCGCGUCACGUGACGCCCGGCCCGGAAGCGCUCGCUCCCGAGACCCCCCAGGUGACGGGGUCGGGAGCUGCCGCCCGGAGCCAGCGGGGAGGUCGAGGUCACGGGGAUCCCUGCAGUUUCCCGCUCCCCUCAUCCGCCGCCAUGGCCUGGACCAAGUACCAGCUGUUCCUGGCCGGGCUCAUGCUCGUCACCGGCUCCAUCAACACGCUCUCGGCCAAGUGGGCAGACAACUUCGUGGCGCAGGGCUGUGGAGGAAGCAAGGAGCACAGCUUCCAGCAUCCCUUCCUCCAGGCGGUGGGCAUGUUCCUGGGAGAGUUCUCCUGCCUGGCUGCCUUCUACCUGCUUCGGUGCCGAGCGGCAAGGCACCCAGACGCCAGCAUGGAUCCCCAGCAGCCCUUCAAUCCCCUUCUUUUCCUGCCCCCUGCCCUGUGCGACAUGACGGGGACCAGCAUCAUGUAUGUGGCCCUGAACAUGACGAGUGCCUCCAGCUUCCAGAUGCUGCGGGGAGCAGUGAUCAUAUUCACAGGCCUGUUCUCAGUGGCCUUCCUGGGGCGGAGGCUGGCACUGAGCCAGUGGCUGGGCAUCCUUGCCACCAUCGCAGGGCUGGUGGUUGUGGGCCUGGCCGACCUUCUGAGCAAGCAUGAUGAUCAGCACAAACUCAGCGAAGUGAUCACAGGGGACCUGCUGAUCAUCAUGGCCCAGAUCAUUGUCUCCAUCCAGAUGGUGCUCGAGGAGAAGUUCGUCUACAGGCAUAAUGUUCACCCACUGCGGGCAGUUGGCACUGAGGGCCUCUUUGGCUUCGUGAUCCUCUCCCUGCUGCUGGUGCCCAUGUACUAUAUCCCUGCCGGCUCCUUCAGUGGAAGCCCCCGAGGGACGCUGGAGGACGCGCUGGACGCCUUCUGCCAGGUGGGCCGACAACCGCUCAUCGCCCUGGCGCUGCUGGGCAACAUCAGCAGCAUCGCCUUCUUCAACUUCGCGGGCAUCAGCGUCACCAAGGAACUGAGCGCCACGACCCGCAUGGUGCUGGACAGCCUGCGUACCAUUGUCAUUUGGGCGCUGAGCCUGGCGCUGGGCUGGGAGGCCUUCCACCCUCUGCAGAUCCUGGGCUUCCUCAUCCUGCUGACAGGCACCGCCCUCUACAAUGGGCUGCACCGCCCACUGCUCACCCGCCUGGCCAGGGGCCGGCCCCCGGCAGAAGAGGGUGAGCACGAGAGACUGCUCGGUGGCUCCCGGACUCCCAUCAAUGAUGCUAGUUGAGCCUCUCGUGGGUUCUCCGCUGCUACCUGGAUGCACCUUGUCCACCCUGAGGCCGAGGCCACAUAGGCUGGUGAGCCUCCCGUGUCCUGUUCCCAAAGGCCUCACCCCACCCCUCCCCAACGCCCCUUUCCCCUCCCAGGGCAGCUGCUGCCACAGGACCAGACACCCGGGUCCUCCUUUGUUACCACCCCCUGCAACCCCCACAGGCCUGAGCACAGUGACCGACCCUUGCCAGGCUCCCCUCAACCCCCAAAGCCCCUCCUGCAGCACUAGCACUAAAUCAUGAAGUGGAAUUGCAGGAACUAACAACUGUAAGGUUUCCUCCUAAAACAUAAGCUAACUUUGGUUCUCCAGAGAAGAGAGGUCAGUGAGCAAAUUCAAACCAGACCUAAGCGCCAUGUUUUCUAAAACUACAAGUUAUUCGCCAACCCUGUCUUGGAGACCUAAGUCUUAGCUGGAUUGUGCACAAACUCAGCAGAUGUCCCCCAGCCCCUUACCUAGUGGCCCUGGGCCUUGGAGUCCUUGUCUAGAAAGCAGAAGAUACAGAUGUUGUGGCUUCGGUGCCUCCCAGCCUCUGCUGGGCCCAUCCUGUGGGAAAGGAGGAGCCCAUUCUUUGCAAAGGCUCCUCUACCCUCUGUGCCUCCUCCCCAUUGGUGUCCUGGCUGCCACACUCUGAAGGCCUCCCUGCCUGGGACAGAUGACGGGGAAUUCCAAGCAGCUCUUCAGAGCAGCUUUGAUGAACUCUUCACCUUCCAUUUUAAAGAUGAAAAGACUGAGGCCCAGAGAUGUAAGUGGUUUUACGAGAGUGCACUCCUGCAGUGGACUCUGGCUGAGCAGCCUCGUGAUCUGCUGCAGGCUGGGAUCCAGAGCACAUCUGGACUUCAGCCGUACUCCCAGCAACCUGACUCCAUAGAUAUCCCUCCGGGGUAAUGAAUUUGCCAGGACUCCACCAUUUAGAGGAAUUCUGGUCUCCUAGACAUGAGCUAAAUGCUUAACACUAAUCCUCUGGUGUAACAACCUGCACAGGUGGGUGUAGAUGAGGAAGCCAUGGCCCAGAGGUGUUAACUGACUUCCUCACAGAACCAGGAUUUCAAGCUAGGUUUGCCUGAUUCCAGACCUCCAGCCCCACCCACCGUACAGGUCUCCCUGGGGUCUUUGGGGUACAUUUCCCAAGGCCGGAAUAAAAGCUUCAUGUGCUGUUGUCCUCCCCACCCUGAAGAGAGGGGACUGGCAUUGGGGGGCCCCAGGGAGUGAAGCAGUCCUUCCUUACGGAGUUCCUCACUCCGUGGCAGUUUCUGGAGCCUCAGUCCAUUUUUCUGGGCAGCUCAAUCAUAAAACAAAACACCAAAUGCCUUCCUUAAAAUAGAUUCUGGGGGAAGGGAUCUUUGACACGCAAAGCCCUUAGGCUGUGUGGGAAUCAGCAGGUUAUUACAGUUUGUUGGGAGAAGAGGGCCUCUCCAUGCCUCCAGCUCUGCGUCUCAGGGGCCCCUGAGCUUCUGUGGGCCACAGUGUGUGCCACAGAAGAGGGAAAUGGAGGGUAAGCGUGGUGGGGACUAUAGCUGCCUUGUCCAAAAAAACUGGGGCCUUAAAAUGUCAUUAAGACAAAAGGGAAAUUGGGAGCGUGGCCUUUCCUCCCCCACCCCCUUAAAUGAGAGGGAAGUUGCACAAGGGUUAAAUAUAUCAGGCCUGCCACCAAAUCAGGCAAAUCAUUUUACCUCUGGAGCUUUGGGUCUUCACAUCUCUAAAAUGGGAAAGCCAGCCUCCAUCUUGCAGGGUGAGCUUGAAAAUUACAUAAGAUAAUAAAUUGAAGGUGCCUGUAAAUGCCAACACACAGGAGUGUUGUGGAAGACUGCACUGGCCACCAGGGCGGUCUGCCAAGGGCGUGGAAGUCCCAGCAGAGGCACAGCACAGAGCAUCAGUUUUACUCAGAGGGAAGGAAAUGUUUUAUUAAAAUACACCAUCAUGGAAAGAAAAACUAUACCAUCAUUGAGGAGAAUGUAAAAUUCACAUCUAUUUUAAGACAAAACUAGAUGCCUCAAAAAUACUUUGUGCUGACAGGAGGUGCCUUCCCAGCCCCUAGAGGUGUGUUCGCUCUCCUGUCAUUUGAGGGAUGCUUUGGAGGGUGGGUCCGAGAGGCCUUGCUGGUCAUGUGGAUGAGAAAGUAAGCACCCCCACUCUCGCUGAGGCUGGAAGGUUGUGGAGGAUGUUUUCAGUGGAGUAAGAGGGUUCUGAAUUGUGGAAGUUUGGUGGGGAGGUUCUGAACCUCUGUAAAAUCAGAACCAACUGAUUGCGAGCUUCUGUAAACAUCAGUUCAAAGACUAUAAUUUAAAGCACGUGCAUCAGAGUGGAUUGCUCAGUCCCUGUCCCUUGCAGAGUGGUCUUGGGGCAGGGGCUUCCUGUAGGACUGCCAUCCAGAACCCGGGGUAGCCCUGGGACUCCUCCACCAGAAAUCUGCCCACAAGGCAGAAAUUUAGGACCUUACCAGGUAAUUCCAUCUGCCUUCACUUUGUCCAAAGGUCUCUGCUGGUUUAACAAACCGCACUCGAAGAGGUCAGAGCUCUGACUCCUGAUGAGGUCAGAAGUGGAGCAAAGGGCCACCUGGUAUAGAAAAGGUAGAAUCGGAAGUCAGAGAGCUGUGUUCUCAGCCCCACUUCUACUUUGGGUGACCUUGGACAAGUCAUUUUAUCUCUCAAGGCCUAAGCUACCUAUAAAAAGGAGAAGUUCUGAGCAUUACUAAAUAUGUACACCUCCCUGACCGGCUUACAGGUUAACCUCAUUCUUUCAUAUUCACCUUGGCCAAGAGCCCCUUUGGCCUUUUUGUUGACUAUGUGCUUUCCAACCUUAAGGUCAGCAGGGGAUUUCCCCUAGUUGUAAAAGUUUAUAAAUCACCCAUCUUCAUCAAGAACACUUGUCAAAAAAUCUUUGGUAAAGGAUUACAAUCCCAGAAUUUAGCCAACUGUAUUGAGAACGGAUGUGCUCCAAGGGCUGUGAAUCCAUGAAAGAAAAACAGGAGACAAAUGUGUAAAGAAAAUUCCAGCACAGCGUGAUGUGCAUAAGAGGCCCUUUGUAUGAGAUACAAAGGAGGCCUUACAGGGAACUCUAGAACUAGAACUCUGAGAGCGCCACUGGAGCUGGUUGGUAGAGAAUGGGCAGGAGUCUCCCAGGCUGGCAGGAUGGGAUAGUAGGGGUAUUCCAGGAAAAAGGAACAGCUUGUAAGAAGCACAGAAACAUGCACUUCUUCCCGUCACCCUGGUUCCCGAAAACAUCUGGUUAUGAAGGAGAUCCGAAAGCUUCAGAUGAGUACAAACCUGUUGUUAAGGAAGAACCCCUUCAGCCGCCUGGUGAGAGAGAUAUGUGUUAAAUUCACACGCGGUGUGGACUUCUCUUGGCAAGCCCAGGCCCUGUUGGCCCUGCAAGAGGAUGUACAGCUGGCCAGGAGGAUCCGAGGCAUUCAGGAAGGGCUUGGCUGAGCCCUGGCCCCAUCUCUGGAUGACGCCAGGGACACUGUCCAGAGCCAGGAACAGACCCGUGGAACCCAAGGAGGUGCCCGGACUGGCCAUCUCUGAGCAGUGUGCAUGUUGCUUGUGUAAUUGGUUUAUUUAAGAAGGAGAAGACUGCAUGGCUUUCCUCUGUAACAGAGGUAAUACAUGAGAAAAUCAGCGUCAUUCCAGAGAACUGAGUCUCCAAGGUUCACUUCAUAAUGCAAAUUGGUCACAUGACUGCGGAAUCAUUUUGAAGUUAUCAGAUUUUCUGGGCUGUGGGAAAAAAGGAUAUUGUUUUAUUAUUCGAGAUCUUCCUGUACCGUUUAAAUUUUUUUACCAUAUGUAUAUUUUCUGUAAAAUACCAGGGAACAAAACAAAACGCGACCCCUUCUGUCAGCUGCAUGGAGGAGCCUGGCACAUUCCAGGCACAAAUCCCUGUCCCUCUGUUAACCUCAUCAUGAGUGGUGGCAGCAAGUGAUGUGUGGGCCCUGCUUGUCAACACACGUGUAGCUUUUUAAAAACUCAGUUGGGGUUAAAAUAGAAAAUCUUUUAAGUACUGGUGUUCUGGUUCCUUUGAGUAAAUUCCUGUCAAAGUCAUUCAGAAAUUCUAGCUUGUAGAACUUAUUCUUAUUUAUAAAUCAUAGAAGACGUAUCAUGAUUUAUACUUUAGAAUUUUUCAUUCUGGAGUUUUAGAGUGCCUUUUCAAAGUUUUUACAGGUGUUUUUUAGAACUUCUUUGUGGAGCGAUAAUAAAAAUAAGAAUUCUUUAAUGAAAAAACUGUAAAGCAAAAUUACAGUUAGCGCGUAUAGAGAUACUACAUUUUUUUGUGUGUGUUAAUGUUGAGUUCUCCAUCUGUACGCUGUUUUCCAAGCGGCCACCAUUCAAACAAGAGAAUGGCGGGGUGUGUUUGGGCUCCCAUAGAGUAGAGUGUGAGCAGAUAAAAACCUUGCCUCCUGUUCCAUCCAAAAGCAGUUAAAGUGUUUUCUAGAGAAACGGAAAGUGCCACUAAAAGACUUUCAGACUUUGCAUGUGAUGGAAAUCACUUCUGACAGUGAUACCUCAGGCAACCACAUUCUGAGACAAACUGAAAGGAAGGACCAAGUUCUGUUGUUGAAUAAAUUUUAACCCUUUGGAAAAACCUCUUCCUGUUCCAUAACAAGUCCUAUUUAUACAGACAUCAAAUAAACUAUAUUUACUUUAUGAAUAUA